GAGCGGGGGGUAGCCCCGGCCGGCGGGUAGCCUCGGCCACCGCAAAUACUAGUGACUCUCGUAGUGUUACCUAUAAGUACGUGUCAUGUCUGUGUGCAUUUACUAUCCAUUCGAAAAAUACUGACAGUUGGAAGUCACCCGACCACGGUGCUCGGACAUAAAUUGAGUAUUUUGUUUUUGGCGGACUGGUUGCGCGGGAUACCAAUUGUUUCGGAGGCUAUUUUUAUUGGAUAAACUGGUACAAUGCCCAAAUUUAGGAAUAGAACUACAAAUCGCGGAGACUGGAGUAAAGAGAAUAUGAAAAAAGCAAUUCAAGCUGUCCUUGACAAAAAAUAUUCUGAAAGAGCAGCCGCAGACCGAUAUGAAGUCCCACGUACUUCUUUGCAAGAUCGUAUUAAAGGUAUAAAACAAGGUUAUCAGGUCAGUCUUAUACCAAAAUUAGGACGCUUUGAACAAACAUUCAAACCUGAGUUUGAAAGACAACUCUGUGAGCAUGUUAUAAAUCUAGAUAACCGUCUUAUGCCUUUAACAAGAAGUGAGUUUUUGCGCCUUGCCUUUGAUUUAGCAGAAAAACUUCAAAUUCCUCACAGGUUUAACAAGGACAAACGAAUGGCAGGAUUUUUUCUGCGAAUUUAAGAAAAGAAAUCCAGAUGUGGCAUUAAGAACUCCUGAGGCAACUAGCUUGAUGCGUUCUACGGUGCGGUAAAGACACCAAAGGUGCGGUAAAGACACCAAAGGUGCGGUAAAGGUCAAGAGAAACAUAAAAACGGGAGUAAAAGUUAAGAAGGUUGCAUCUCAGCCAGAUUCGUCACAUCAGGAGACGGAAUGCAUUAUUUGCGGUGAAACAUUCGAUGAGGAUUGGAUCCAAUGCAAAAUUGCAAAAUAUGUGAGGACUGAGCUCACGAAGCUUGUGUAGAUUUAAAUCCAUCUCAUUUAUACUAUUACUGUGAUGUAUGUGUUGCCAAAAAACGCAUUAAUCUUUAAAUACCUGGGUGGCCGGAGCUACCCGCCAUCUUUAAGGGAUACCAAAAUUUUAUUACUUUUUCAAGUGGCUUUAAUUACAGAGGGAUUAUGUUGUUGUCUGAGUUUUCGAUAUUUAUCUUAAAUAAAUAUAAUGUUGAUUAUUUU